rnacentral:rRNA from 1 species
GCGGACAGAUGGGAGCUUGCUCCCUGAAGUCAGCGGCGGACGGGUGAGUAACACGUGGGCAACCUGCCUGUAAGACUGGGAUAACUCCGGGAAACCGGGGCUAAUACCGGAUAAUUCUUUCCCUCACAUGAGGGAAAGCUGAAAGAUGGUUUCGGCUAUCACUUACAGAUGGGCCCGCGGCGCAUUAGCUAGUUGGUGAGGUAACGGCUCACCAAGGCAACGAUGCGUAGCCGACCUGAGAGGGUGAUCGGCCACACUGGGACUGAGACACGGCCCAGACUCCUACGGGAGGCAGCAGUAGGGAAUCUUCCGCAAUGGACGAAAGUCUGACGGAGCAACGCCGCGUGAGUGAUGAAGGUUUUCGGAUCGUAAAACUCUGUUGUUAGGGAAGAACAAGUACCGGAGUAACUGCCGGUACCUUGACGGUACCUAACCAGAAAGCCACGGCUAACUACGUGCCAGCAGCCGCGGUAAUACGUAGGUGGCAAGCGUUGUCCGGAAUUAUUGGGCGUAAAGCGCGCGCAGGCGGUUCCUUAAGUCUGAUGUGAAAGCCCCCGGCUCAACCGGGGAGGGUCAUUGGAAACUGGGGAACUUGAGUGCAGAAGAGAAGAGUGGAAUUCCACGUGUAGCGGUGAAAUGCGUAGAGAUGUGGAGGAACACCAGUGGCGAAGGCGACUCUUUGGUCUGUAACUGACGCUGAGGCGCGAAAGCGUGGGGAGCAAACAGGAUUAGAUACCCUGGUAGUCCACGCCGUAAACGAUGAGUGCUAAGUGUUAGAGGGUUUCCGCCCUUUAGUGCUGCAGCAAACGCAUUAAGCACUCCGCCUGGGGAGUACGGCCGCAAGGCUGAAACUCAAAGGAAUUGACGGGGGCCCGCACAAGCGGUGGAGCAGGUGGUUUAAUUCGAAGCAACGCGAAGAACCUUACCAGGUCUUGACAUCU